rnacentral:ncRNA from 1 species
GCUUAUGUUACUAAUUCACCUCUAAACUGGCACAUGAUUGUAUACAAUGCAUAUAGGCACGAAAUCUCAACAACGUCAGUGACGUAAUACGGGAAAUCCCCUAACAUAAAAUAAAAUGCAUAUUUGCUCAUAACUCUUUAACAAAACAAUAUUGGAAGAAACUGAUUUGAUUUUUGAAAUCAGCGUAUUUUUUUCCAUUUAUUAAGAUAUUCUUAAAAUUGACUUCAGUUCCCCUUUAAGAGGGACAGACGGGGGCAUUCGUACUGUGCCGUUAGAGGUGAAAUUCUUGGAUCGGCGCAAGACGAACGACUGCGAAAGCAUUUGCCAAGAAUGUUUUCUUUUAUCAAGAGC